CAAUGGGCGAAGCCUGAUCCAGCCAUGCCGCGUGUGUGAAGAAGGUCUUCGGAUUGUAAAGCACUUUAAGUUGGGAGGAAGGGCAGUAAAUUAAUACUUUGCUGUUUUGACGUUACCGACAGAAUAAGCACCGGCUAACUCUGUGCCAGCAGCCGCGGUAAUA
rnacentral:rRNA from 1 species